GAUGAACGCUGGCGGCGUGCCUAACACAUGCAAGUCGAGCGAACACACCGGGAGUUUGUCCUUUUGACGUUUGCGGCGGGCGGGCGUGUAACACGUGCAUCAUCUACCUAUAUGUCGGGGAUAAUCUCGGAAAACCGGAUACUAUACCGGAUAUGACGUUGAACCGUGUUGUGCAAUAGUGAAACUCGGUCUUGCGGGCAUGUUUAGCCGGAUUCGCGUCGCAUUAGCUAGUUGGUAAGGUAACGGCUUACCAAGGCGACGACGCGUAGCCGACCUGAGAGGGUGAUCGGCCACCCUGGAACUGAGACACGGUCCAGACUCCUACGGGAGGCAGCAGUAGGGAAUCUUGCGCAAUGGGCGAAAGCCUGACGGAGCAACGCCGCGUGAGUGAAGAAGGUCUUCGGAUCGUAAAGCUCUGUUAUUAGGGAAGAACAGAUGUGUGAGUAACUAUGCACGUCUUGACGGUACCUAAUCAGAAAGCCACGGCUAACUACGUG
rnacentral:rRNA from 1 species